rnacentral:rRNA from 1 species
CAGUCGCCACGGUAAUACGUAGGGCGCGAGCGUUGUCCGGAAUUAUUGGGCGUAAAGGGCUUGUAGGCGGUUGGUCGCGUCUGCCGUGAAAUCCUCUGGCUCAGCUGGGGGCGUGCGGUGGGUACGGGCUGGCUUGAGUGCGGUAGGGGAGGCUGGAACUCCUGGUGUAGCGGUGGAAUGCGCAGAUAUCAGGAGGAACACCGGUGGCGAAGGCGGGUCUCUGGGCCGUUACUGACGCUGAGGAGCGAAAGCGUGGGGAGCGAACAGGAUUAGAGACCCCUGUAGUCCCUGUCUCUUAUAA